UUACUAGGGCUAAAGGCGACAUGCAGGUGGUUUGUUAAGUCAGAUGUAGAAACGCCCGGGGCUCAACCGUCGGAACUGCAUUUAGAAACUGGCAGACUAGAGUACUGUAGAGGGGGUAGAAUUUCAGGUGUAGCGGUGAAAAUGCGUAGAGAUCUGAAGGAAUACCGGUGGCGAAGGCGGCCCCCUGGACAGAUACUGACACUCAGAUGCGAAAGCGUGGGGAGCAAACAGGAUUAGAUACCCUGGGAG
rnacentral:rRNA from 1 species